rnacentral:rRNA from 1 species
AGUGAACGCUGGCGGUAGGCCUAACACAUGCAAGUCGAACGGCAGCACAGUAAGAGCUUGCUCUUACGGGUGGCGAGUGGCGGACGGGUGAGGAAUACAUCGGAAUCUACUUUUUCGUGGGGGAUAACGUAGGGAAACUUACGCUAAUACCGCAUACGACCUACGGGUGAAAGCAGGGGAUCUUCGGACCUUGCGCGAUUGAAUGAGCCGAUGUCGGAUUAGCUAGUUGGCGGGGUAAAGGCCCACCAAGGCGACGAUCCGUAGCUGGUCUGAGAGGAUGAUCAGCCACACUGGAACUGGGACACGGUCCAGACUCCUACGGGAGGCAGCAGUGGGGAAUAUUGGACAAUGGGAGCAAGCCUGAUCCAGCCAUACCGCGUGGGUGAAGAAGGCCUUCGGGUUGUAAAGCCCUUUUGUUGGGAAAGAAAAGCAGCAGGUUAAUACCCCGCUGUUAUGACGGUACCCAAAGAAUAAGCACCGGCUAACUUCGUG